GGAUCAAUAUGUUGGUCGUGCCUUGGUACGUACUAGUUUAUUGGUUUCUCCCUUCUGACGAACCAUGAUGUCAUUAAUUUGAUGUCGUGGAGAAUCAGGACUGUUACUUUGAAAAAAUUAGAGUGUUUAAAGCAGGCUUUCGCUUGAAUACAUUAGCAUGGAAUAAUGAAAUAGGACGUUCGAUCCUAUUUUGUUGGUUUCUAGGAUUGACGUA
rnacentral:rRNA from 1 species